rnacentral:rRNA from 1 species
CGUAUGGGAGGCAGCACUGGGGAAUUUUGGACAAUGGGGGCAAGCCUGAUCCAGCCAUGCCGCGUGAGUGAAGAAGGCCUUCGGGUUGUAAAGCUCUUUCUGUGGGGAAGAAAAAGCUUUUGUUAAUACCCGGUGUGGAUGACGGUACCCGAAUAAGAAGCACCGGCUAAAUAUGUGCCAGCAGCCGCGGUAAUAUGUAGGGUGCGAGCGUUUAUAUGAAUUACUGGGCGUAAAGCGUGCGCGGGCGGUUUUGUAAGUCAGAUGUGAAAUCUCCGGGCUCUACCUGGGAAAUGCAUUUGUGACUGCACGGCUAGAGUGUGGCAGAGGGGGGUAGAAUUCCACGUGUAGCACUGAAAUGCGUAGAGAUGUGGAGGAACACCGAUGGGGAAGGCAGCCCCCUGGGUCAAUACUGACGCUCUUGCACGAAAGCGUGGGGAGCAAACAGGAUUAGAUACCCUGGUAGUCCACGCCCUAAACGAUGUCAACUAGGUGUUGGGAGGGUUAAACCUUUCAGUACCGUAGCUAACGCGUGAAGUGACCGCCUGG